UCGCCCUACACUGUAAACACCGAUUUUUAAUUUAAUUCAAAAACCUGCCUGGUCACGUGACAAGAACAGCGUCUUGUAACGUGCGUCCAAAGGGAUCUACACCUGGCGGGACGAGCAGCACAGGCAUCGGCAGCAGACGGUACCCUGACCAGGAAGCAACUUUACUCAAAGUGGAAUGGUGUUCAUGGAGUUCAGCAGGAUUGUGGGCAAGAACCUCAAGCAGGAAUUCUACGAGAGCAUUGGCCGGCACAGUCCUCGUCUCCUCGAGUUAUUUCGAUCCAAGAGAGGGAAUGUUGGACAGUUGUUGACACAGAUUUCACAACAGACCAAUACUACAGAGCCAACUGUGAUCUGGACACAGGUGCUCAGAGGGUUUCCUAUGUGGGGACAACCCCACAGACUUCUUCAAAGCAGGCUUUUCUUUAUUUAGGAAUUCGAUGAUGAUGAGGAUUCUUUUCGUGACCUUGACGUUGGGCUACUUCUCAUUGAGCGUGAAGGUGCUGGGCUCACAUCUUCCCAGCAUCUCAGUCCAGCCUCGCUGAAAAUCAGCAUUGUGGGAGAAGUCGUGAUGGACAACAUUCAAGAUCUGCCAGAAGCAAUGUACAUUCUGUUUGGACUCACGUAUGCACUCCAUCUUAACAAUCCCAAGACUAUGAAGCUCACAUUUCAGGUCAUCCAACAGGUAUUGCUCUUGUUAGGCCACACUGACCUAAAGCCGAAGCUACAGACUUCGAAAAACCAGCUCGCAAUGUAAAGAGAUGUCAAGUCUACUGUAAGAAGCUGUUGCCACACCAGUAAAACACUUUCUUACCUG